ensembl:lncRNA
GCUGCUUAGAGGAUACAGAGACCAGAGCCCAAGGUCUCCAAAGUGGCUCAGCAGGGAGUCAGGAGCCUGGAUUCCUGGCCAGGCUCUGACACCCCAGCUUUCAAGAUGGUUUCAGAUACACUCUCAUUGAAGUCACUGUCACAGUCACACCCAUCAGACAGGGAACAUGAGAUGAGAUGCAUUCGAAAGGACAGCAGGGACAGCAAGCCUGCUCUCAGCCUUUCUACUGGCUCUUGGAGAACAGCAUCCUGGAUUCAGAUGACCAAAAAAAGAGGAGUUCAAGAAUGCGCACGGGUCGUGGGGUUGAGGAAGCCGAUGGCGUCACCAUCCACAGCCGCCGAAAGCAACUUCCUACUCCCCCUGGGCCUCUGCUGUGGGAACGCUUCCCCUAGCGCUGCAGGAAUCUUUCCCCUUAAACCGGGGAAGAUUCCUUAAUCCGUUUUCGUGGUAAACGACCUCGGGCCAAGACUCCUUUUGUUGCUGGUUUCUUAAACUUAAUUGCAAGCAAAGUUAAUUUGAAAGAAAAUAAAUGUUACAGCUCUGGGGCGAAUUCUAACGAGCCUUGGGAAAUUAGAGAAGAACGCAUCUAAUUACCCACAGCCCGGGGGGCGCCUGCACACGACGCUGGGGGUGCAGAGCCCAGAUAGGGGCACACAAUUUUUUUGGUUUCAAGAUAGGAAGAAGAAAAAAGAAACACACCUCCCGACUCUGAGCCCCUAGACAGGGAGGUCCUGUUUCGCGGUUUGGGGGUUCGGAGAGUUGGACUGUCGCUAGA